rnacentral:rRNA from 1 species
AACGAACGCUGGCGGCAGGCCUAACACAUGCAAGUCGAGCGAGGACUUCGGUUCUAGCGGCGGACGGGUGAGUAACGCGUGGGAAUGUGCCCUUCUCUACGGAAUAGCCCUGGGAAACUGGGAGUAAUACCGUAUACGCCCUAUUGGGGAAAGAUUUAUCGGAGAAGGAUCAGCCCGCGUUGGAUUAGGUAGUUGGUGGGGUAAUGGCCUACCAAGCCGACGAUCCAUAGCUGGUUUGAGAGGAUGAUCAGCCACACUGGGACUGAGACACGGCCCAGACUCCUACGGGAGGCAGCAGUGGGGAAUCUUAGACAAUGGGGGCAACCCUGAUCUACCCAUGCCGCGUGAGUGAUGAAGGCCUUAGGGUUGUAAAGCUCUUUCAGCUGGGAAGAUAAUGACGGUACCAUCAGAAGAAGCCCCGGCUAACUCCGUG